CUCUUUCGCUUGCUCUCCCUCUCCCCUUCCCUGGCAGCACCCUCCUCCCCUGGCCCACCAGUAACUCCCACCCCCUCCUUAACGGUCCCGCGGAAGCUUCUCACUGCAGCGCCCUUACCGGAAGUGACUGGGCAGACACUUUUCAUAGCGCCCAGAUCCCGAAGCCCCCAGGUCCGCAGGACUUGAAGGGGGAGGGGGACACCACUGACCCACUACCGAAUAGAGCCUGAACUUUGAUACAUUUCCCAGUAAUGUAGCUGCAAAUCCUUUUACAUUCCUAAAAGAAUCAUUUUUCUAAGAUGGCUGGCCAGAGUUAAGGGUGCAUUCCAAGGCCAAGAAACAGGAAGCUCAGAGAUUUAAUCUCCUGUCUUACCUGGGACCAUCUGCAAAGCACAUGUUUUAAUGUAUUGCAAUAGCUAGAAGUAAAUACCUGAAACUAUCAAACUGCAACCCAGUAGCCUUGACUCUUCAAGAUGAUUUUAUAGCAAUGGAGCUUACAAGAGUUGAAAGUGAUUGUGAAAGACUUAUGGAUCACACGCCCUUUAUUCAGUGUAUGGAUGGAUGAGUAGAAAAAUGGGGACAAAAAACUAAAUGAAAAAUAGG